ACAGGAAAGAGCUGAUCCUCUCUGGCACUUUAAAUCCAAUUAAGGAUUUACAUCUGGGAAAACUCGCCUUAACUAAGUUUCCAAAGAGUCCAGAAACGUGGAUUCACAGGCGAUGGGUGCUACAACAGCUAAUUCAGGAAACCUCCUUGCCUUCCUUUGUGACCAAAGGAAACUUGGGAACAAUUCCCGCAGAAAGGGCACAGCGACUCAUACAAGAAGAGAUGGAGGUCUGUGGUGAAGCAGCAGGGAGAUACCCAAGCAACUAUAAUGCUUGGUCCCAUCGCAUCUGGGUUUUACAGCACUUGGCCAAGCUAGAUGUCAAGGUAGGAAUAUUAUUGUCUCCUGGGCAGACUGCCUGUCUGCCCUUAAAAUCUUCUGGUAGUAGUUCAUCCUCAGAAGAGCUUUGAAGGAGUAGAGAAACUGAUGGUCUGGCAACUUGAGAGAAUGGCGACAGCCGCUACCUCUGGAGAAACCCUGUAAUUAAAUUAAAAGCUUGCAUUCCCCACCAGUGCUGUUUUUGGCAGUCUUAA
rnacentral:sRNA from 1 species